UACGUAGGGGGCAAGCGUUGUCCGGAUUUAUUGGGCGUAAAGCGCUCGCAGGUGGUUCGAUGCGUCGUGCGUGAAAGACCCCGGCUCAACUGGGGAGGGUCGUGCGAUACGGUCGAACUGGAGGCCAGUAGGGUGAUGCGGAAUUCCGGGUGUAGUGGUGGAAUGCGUAGAGAUCCGGAGGAACACCAGCGGCGAAGGCGGCAUCCUGGACUGGUCCUGACACUCAUGAGCGAAAGCGUGGGGAGCAAACAGG
rnacentral:rRNA from 1 species